AAAAAAAAAUUCCUAAACCCGGACCACCACAUCAGCCAAAUAUUAGCUCAUACUUCUCACUCCACGGAGUCCUACAAAAUUUUCAAAAAAAUAAAAAGAUCCAGAACACAACUCCUGUAAUUUCGAAAUUACGAAAGUUUUCGUAUUUAUAAGUUAUUUUCAAUAAUAGGAUAUCCGAUGCAACGAUCGACACUACUGUUAGGCAUAAUCUAAGCAAGUGAAAUUAUCUAAAAAGCAAAUUUCAUAAUUUUUCGACAUCAUUUAUCAAGUGAUCAAAAGAUCUCGAAAUGACUAUUUUUAACGGUCGAUGUGGCAUGUUUUAAGUUCAACGGCGUAAAUUAAUCCAAAUUACAUGAAACUUUAAUAGAAAAUUCUACUUAACAUCAAUAGCAACACCAAUACUUCUAAUUUGAAAUUUGAGUAUUUUAUCACUAUUAUUUAUUAAAUUUUUAUUUUUAGCCGUUCAUAUUGAGGCAGCUCGUUCACUAGGCGAAUGGAGUUAAAAAAAAAAUUAUGAGAUUUGAUUUCUAGGUAGUUUCAAUAGUGUAGAUUAUGUUUAACAGAACUGAUCGCUGAAUCAGAUGUUUGGUCUCCGUAUUCUUGAAAGCAUAGGAGGCUCAAAGACUCCGUAUUCUAUUUCCAAAUAUGUGAGGAUAUAAAAAGAAGGAAAAAUUUUAAAUACCACCCAUGUGGUUUCAUACUUUCUCACUUUAGUACUCUCUGGUUUAAAAUGUAUCAAUUUAGUGUCUUGUAAUUUUAUUUUUAUCUUUUUAUUAUCAAUUUCACUAAUUUUUUUCGUUAAAUCAGUGUCAAAGUUAAAACUAAAAGGUACUGAAGUGAAUAUUCAAUAAAUUUAAGUAGGGUAUAUGAAGUAUUUUGCAUAUAAUUUAAUAAAAUAUUAACGGAAAAUCUAAUGAAAAGAUAAAAAUAAAAUCACAUGACACUAACUUGGUACAUUUUAAAUCACAUGAUAUUAAAAUGAGAAAAUGUGAAACCAAAGUGGCGGUAUUCGAAGUUUACCCCAAAAAA
rnacentral:lncRNA from 1 species